GGAUAGCACAGUCUGUAGAGCAUGAGACUCUUAAUCUCAGAGUCGUGGGUUUGAGCCCCUUGUUGGGCAACA